GGCCAUAGCUCAAUGACAGACCACCUGCUUUGCAUGCAGAAGGUUCCUGGUUCAAUGCCUGGCAUCGCCA